rnacentral:rRNA from 1 species
CAGCCGCCACGGGAAUACAGAGGGUGCGAGCGUUAAUCGGAUUUACUGGGCGUAAAGCGUGCGUAGGCGGCUUCUUAAGUCGGAUGUGAAAUCCCUGAGCUUAACUUAGGAAUUGCAUUCGAUACUGGGAAGCUAGAGUAUGGGAGAGGAUGGUAGAAUUCCAUGUGUAGCGGUGAAAUGCGUAGAGAUCUGGAGGAAUACCGAUGGCGAAGGCAGCCAUCUGGCCUAAUACUGACGCUGAGGUACGAAAGCAUGGGGAGCAAACAGGAUUAGAUACCCCAGUAGUCCCUGUCUAUUAUAC